CAGGAAGUCACUCACGGCGUUUCCAACAUGACUUUACACACACUGGCCAUCGUGCUUAGGCAGUCUGUCGUGUUCUCGAUGGGCAGGUCUAGGUUAUCUGA